GAAUAUUGGACAAUGGGCGCAAGCCUGAUCCAGCCAUACCGCGUGGGUGAAGAAGGCCUUCGGGUUGUAAAGCCCUUUUGUUGGGAAAGAAAUCCUGUCGGUUAAUAACCGGUAGGGAUGACGGUACCCAAAGAAUAAGCACCGGCUAACUUCGUUCCAGCAGCCGCGGUAAUACGAAGGGUGCAAGCGUUACUCGGAAUUACUGGGCGUAAAGCGGGCGUAGGUGGUUGUUUAAGUCUGCUGUGAAAGCCCUGGGCUCAACCGGGGAAUUGCAGUGGAUACUGGGCGACUAGAGUGUGGUAGAGGAUAGUGGAAUUUCCGGUGUAGCAGUGAAAUGCGUAGAGAUCGGAAGGAACAUCUGUGGCGAAGGCGACUAUCUGGGCCAACACUGACACUGAGGCACGAAAGCGUGGGGAGCAAACAGG
rnacentral:rRNA from 1 species